rnacentral:rRNA from 1 species
GUCCACGCCGUAAACGAUGGGUACUAGGCGUCGGGGGGAGCGACCCCUUCGGUGCCGUCGCUAACGCAGUAAGUACCCCGCCUGGGGAGUACGGCCGCAAGGCUGAAACUCAAAGGAAUUGACGGGGGCCCGCACAAGCGGUGGAGCAUGUGGUUUAAUUCGAGGCAACGCGAAGAACCUUACCUGGGCUUGACAUGCUGGUGAAAGCCGGUGGAAACAUCGGUCCCUCUUCGGAGCACCAGCACAGGUGCUGCAUGGCUGUCGU